GGGGGUGACCGGCUUUGACGGUCUGUACCUUGAAAGACGUGCGGCGCAGUGCUCUCCCGCUACCACUUAAAACUGGCGGGAAACCAAACUUGCCAAGAACACUCUUGCAAGCGUGAAGUCACCGUACUUCGGUAUGAAUGACUUUGCGUUCGCCCACGUCUCCGCUUCGGCGUAACGUGCGCGACGUUUGUCUUCUUUCGGCGCUCACAGCGUGGGAGACAGGCGGAAUUAUCUGUGAGAUCGAUGCUCGGUCUCCCGCCCGGUGCAUCUAAAUAAGGGAUCGGGCAGGAAUGGUUUCGUCUACGUUCCUCGCAUCCUGUCUUAAAGAUAACGCUGACUACGCGCCGUAGAAUCUCUUUCAUAGGCGGAUUCGGACCGGGGUCCAAUUCCCCGCACCUCCACUA
rnacentral:tmRNA from 5 species